rnacentral:lncRNA from 1 species
CAAAAAUUCGAUAAGGUUUACAACAAGUCACUUGACGUAACCAAAACAAUGGGACUACCAACUCUUCUUCUUUUGUUUGUCUUUGCUGCCUUACCAUUCAUUCAAGGAACCACACCUGAGUACUAUAGAAGCAUGGGACAACCAAUUGGUAUUGUUGGUGACCAAAUCGGAAGUGAUAUGUAUCCUAAUGAUGAAUAUACAGGCGGACAAGGUCAAGGAUAUGGCUCCAGAUACGGCUCAAGUUCUGGUUUGUAUUUGUUUUUCAAUCUACGUUGAAACCACCUUUAUGUGCAUGUCUCAGGUCAGGAGUCUGUAAUGCAGUUUUUCGUUCAUUUUUUGUUAAUAAAUAAGACUGUUAAUUUUCUCAGGUGAAUUGUUGUACAUUGUCAUUUCGGGACCUUUUAUAGCUGACUAUGCAAUGUGGGCUUUGCUCAUUGUUGAAGGCCGUACUGUAACCUGAAGUUGUUAAUUUUUGUGUCAUUUUUUGGUCUCUUGUGGAGAGUUGUCUCAUUGGCAAUCUACCACAUUUUUUUUUUAUAUUCAAAAGUAAAAUUUUAAUUUAUCUUAAUAAUUACACUGUCCCACUCGUCUUUUGAAGCAUCUUAGGAGAUGUGCAUAGAAUGAAUUGUGAUUGGCCAAUACCGUCAUAAACAAUAGAAAUUCAACCAAUAAUAUGACUUACACAUCUGUUUUUUAAUAACCAACAAUAUAGUUUCUAUCUUUCAUGAAAACUGAUGCAUAAUUUCACACUGAGAAGUUAUUAGAUUUCGAAAUGUUCGCUAAAUUCGGAAAAAGAUCAAUUUUGUUUUUUCAUAUGUGAUUUUGAUUUUAAUUUUUAGUGUUUUAACGCCACUUGUAAGCACUACAUUUAGGCUAUUUAGUGGCGACCUACGAUAGGAUAACUGACAAUGAUGGUUAAUAAAGAUUAGAGUCGAGUGCACCCGCACGAGCGGGAUUCGAACUCUUAACCUCAGUGUUGACAUGCUAGUGUUACAGUAGUAACUAUUAGGACCACUUGGCUACCUAAGCUCCUUUUUCUAGUGAUUACAGUAGUAACUAUUUGGACCACGUGGACCUACUUUUUCUAGUGAUUACAGUAGUAACUAUUAGGACCACUUGGUUACCUAGGCUCCUUUUUCUAGUGAUUACAGUAGUAAUUAUUAGGACCACGUGGUUACCUAGGCUCCUUUUUUUAGUGAUUCCAGUAGUAACUAUUAGGACCACGUGACUACCUAAGCUCCUUUUUCUCAUAUUUGAAAUAGGAGAUGAAAUAUACAACAAAAAAAUAGAUUAAAAAAAAAACCGAACUCCGAGAAAAAUUCUAAAUUCGUAUUAAGUAAAUUGUAAAAUCAACAGCUCAAACACAUCAAACGAAUUGAUAAUGACUAGCAUAUCCCUGAUUUGGUACAGUAAAUAUUGGUUGAGUAAACGUUGUUUUAUAGCCAGAUAAACCUCUUAUUUUGUUAGCAUGACUGUCAACGCGAAAUAAAAAAUUAAAAGAAAAAAGAAAAUAACAUCAAAAAGUAUUAAAGUAGAACUAUUUACAAUAUAACAUAAGCUAUUUCGAAUCAGUGAUUGAGUUACUAAACUUGUAAUUUUUUCAUGUUUCUCUUCGACUGCAUAUGUAGAAAUAUUUGUAUACUUAUGUAUUACUCAAAACAGAAAACAUUUUACAUUGUUGCAUGGAUUUUCUAAAUCAAUCCCUUUCAUAUUUAGGACGAAUAUGGUGUACUUGUCGUCGGCGAUGUCGUUAUAGGGAAUGGACCAUGAGAUACACCUGUAUGCUACCAUUUUAUCCCAGAUACUGGAGAACAUGUUGUAAAUAUUUAAGAAAUUAUCAAACAUCAUCUAUGUACCGUGGUUACGGAGGAUCACCUUAUUCUCAGUACCCUCAAAGUUACCCGCGAUCUAUGUACGGUACACCUUACCAACAAGACCCUCAAAUGACAUACCCUACAUAUCCUACAUAUCCUGGAGGAGGAAGACUUCCACCAAAAGGGGCAUAACAAGAUCGGGUAAGAAGUUUAAUUAGUAAAG